AACGAACGCUGGCGGCAUGCCUAACACAUGCCAGUCGAACGAGACCUUCGGGUCUAGUGGCGCACGGGUGCGUAACGCGUGGGAACCUGCCCUUAGGUUCGGAAUAACUCCCCGAAAGGGGUGCUAAUACCGGAUAAUGUCUUCGGACCAAAGAUUUAUCGCCUUUGGAUGGGCCCGCGUUGGAUUAGCUAGUUGGUAGGGUAAAAGCCUACCAAGGCGACGAUCCAUAGCUGGUCUGAGAGGAUGAUCAGCCACACUGGGACUGAGACACGGCCCAGACUCCUACGGGAGGCAGCAGUGGGGAAUAUUGGACAAUGGGCGAAAGCCUGAUCCAGCAAUGCCGCGUGAGUGAUGAAGGCCUCAGGGUUGUAAAGCUCUUUUACCCGGGAUGAUAAUGACAGUACCGGGAGAAUAAGCGCCGGCUAACUCCGUG
rnacentral:rRNA from 1 species